rnacentral:rRNA from 1 species
AAGUCGAACGGUAGCACAGAGAGCUUGCUCUCGGGUGACGAGUGGCGGACGGGUGAGUAAUGUCUGGGAAACUGCCUGAUGGAGGGGGAUAACUACUGGAAACGGUAGCUAAUACCGCAUAACGUCGCAAGACCAAAGAGGGGGACCUUCGGGCCUCUUGCCAUCAGAUGUGCCCAGAUGGGAUUAGCUAGUAGGUGGGGUAACGGCUCACCUAGGCGACGAUCCCUAGCUGGUCUGAGAGGAUGACCAGCCACACUGGAACUGAGACACGGUCCAGACUCCUACGGGAGGCAGCAGUGGGGAAUAUUGCACAAUGGGCGCAAGCCUGAUGCAGCCAUGCCGCGUGUAUGAAGAAGGCCUUCGGGUUGUAAAGUACUUUCAGCGGGGAGGAAGGUGUUGUGGUUAAUAACCGCAGCAAUUGACGUUACCCGCAGAAGAAGCACCGGCUAACUCCGUGCCAGCAGCCGCGGUAAUACGGAGGGUGCAAGCGUUAAUCGGAAUUACUGGGCGUAAAGCGCACGCAGGCGGUCUGUCAAGUCGGAUGUGAAAUCCCCGGGCUCAACCUGGGAACUGCAUUCGAAACUGGCAGGCUAGAGUCUUGUAGAGGGGGGUAGAAUUCCAGGUGUAGCGGUGAAAUGCGUAGAGAUCUGGAGGAAUACCGGUGGCGAAGGCGGCCCCCUGGACAAAGACUGACGCUCAGGUGCGAAAGCGU